UACGUAUGGGGCAAGCGUUGUCCGGAUUCAUUGGGCGUAAAGAGCGUGUAGGCGGUCAGGUAGGUCGGUUGUGAAAACUGGAGGCUCAACCUUCAGAGGUCGACCGAAACCCCCUGGCUAGAGUCCGGGAGAGGAGAGUGGAAUUCCUGGUGUAGCGGUGAAAUGCGCAGAUAUCAGGAAGAACACCCGUGGCGAAAGCGGCUCUCUGGAACGGUACUGACGCUGAGACGCGAAAGCGUGGGGAGCGAACAGG
rnacentral:rRNA from 1 species